GACGAACGCUGGCGGCGUGCUUAACACAUGCAAGUCGAACGGAAAGGCCCCGCUUGCGGGGUACUCGAGUGGCGAACGGGUGAGUAACACGUGGGUGAUCUACCCUGCACUUCGGGAUAAGCCUGGGAAACUGGGUCUAAUACCGGAUAGGACCCCUCUUUAGUGUGGGGGGUGGAAAGUUUUUUCGGUGUGGGAUGAGCCCGCGGCCUAUCAGCUUGUUGGUGGGGUAAUGGCCUACCAAGGCGUCGACGGGUAGCCGGCCUGAGAGGGUGGACGGCCACAUUGGGACUGAGAUACGGCCCAGACUCCUACGGGAGGCAGCAGUGGGGAAUAUUGCACAAUGGGCGGAAGCCUGAUGCAGCGACGCCGCGUGGGGGAUGACGGCCUUCGGGUUGUAAACCUCUUUCGCUAGGGACGAAGCUUUUGUGACGGUACCUAGAUAAGAAGCACCGGCUAACUACGUGCCAGCAGCCGCGGUAAUACGUAGGGUGCGAGCGUUGUCCGGAAUUACUGGGCGUAAAGAGCUCGUAGGUGGUUUGUCGCGUCGUCUGUGAAAUUCCGGGGCUUAACUUCGGGCGUGCAGGCGAUACGGGCAAUACUUGAGUGCUGUAGGGGAGACUGGAAUUCCUGGUGUAGCGGUGGAAUGCGCAGAUAUCAGGAGGAACACCGAUGGCGAAGGCAGGUCUCUGGGCAGUAACUGACGCUGAGGAGCGAAAGCAUGGGUAGCGAACAGGAUUAGAUACCCUGGUAGUCCAUGCCGUAAACGGUGGGCGCUAGGUGUAGGGGUCUUCCACGACUUCUGUGCCGUAGCUAACGCAUUAAGCGCCCCGCCUGGGGAGUACGGCCGCAAGGCUAAAACUCAAAGGAAUUGACGGGGGCCCGCACAAGCGGCGGAGCAUGUGGAUUAAUUCGAUGCAACGCGAAGAACCUUACCUGGGCUUGACAUACACCGGACCGGGCCAGAGAUGGUCUUUCCCUUGUGGCUGGUGUACAGGUGGUGCAUGGUUGUCGUCAGCUCGUGUCGUGAGAUGUUGGGUUAAGUCCCGCAACGAGCGCAACCCUUGUCUUAUGUUGCCAGCACGUAGUGGUGGGGACUCAUGAGAGACUGCCGGGGUCAACUCGGAGGAAGGUGGGGAUGACGUCAAAUCAUCAUGCCCCUUAUGUCCAGGGCUUCACACAUGCUACAAUGGUCGGUACAACGCGUUGCGACACUGUGAGGUGGAGCUAAUCGCUGAAAGCCGGCCUCAGUUCGGAUUGGGGUCUGCAACUCGACCCCAUGAAGUCGGAGUCGCUAGUAAUCGCAGAUCAGCAACGCUGCGGUGAAUACGUUCCCGGGCCUUGUACACACCGCCCGUCACGUCAUGAAAGUUGGUAACACCCGAAGCCAGUGGCCCAACCCUUGUGGGGGGAGCUGUCGAAGGUGGGAUCGGCGAUUGGGACG
rnacentral:rRNA from 1 species